CCGCACAAGCGGUGAGCAUGUGGUUUAAUUCGAUGCAACGCGAAGAACCUUUACCUGGUCUUGACAUCCACGGAAGUUUUCAGAGAUGAGAAUGUGCCUUCGGGAACCGUGAGACAGGUGCUGCAUGGCUGUCGUCAGCUCGUGUUGUGAAAUGUUGGGUUAAGUCCCGCAACGAGCGCAACCCUUAUCCCUUUGUUGCCAGCGGUCCGGCCGGGAACUCAAAGGAGACUGCCAGUGAUAAACUGGAGGAAGGUGGGAUGACGUCAAGUCAUCAUGGCCCUUACGGCCAGGGCUACACACGUGCUACAAUGGCGCAUACAAAGAGAAGCGACCUCGCGAGAGCAAGCGGACCUCAUAAAGUGCGUCGUAGUCCGGAUUGGAGUCUGCAACUCGACUCCAUGAAGUCGGAAUCGCUAGUAAUCGUGGAUCAGAAUGCCACGGUGAAUACGUUCCCGGGCCUU
rnacentral:rRNA from 1 species